CUAGAACACUCUGAUUCAGCAGGUGGAUGGUGGGCCUGAGCGUCUUAUUUUUAACAAACUCCCCAGGGGGUUCUCGUGCACAGCCAGGCUUGAGAAUCCCAUUGGUUUAGGUCAAGGCGGGGCAGAUAGAAUAGAUUAGAGGAGACUAGUUGGCGAAAAGCACAUCAGCUCCACCCAUGCUGCAGUGGGGUCAGCAGUAAGAGGCGUCCCAGCUCUUUCUAGCUGGCCCAUGAGUGAGUCCUAACAUUGCAAAGCCUCAGUUAUCUCAUCAUUAAAAUGGGAAUCACGGCAAUGGCCCCAGAGUAUAAAUGUGAGAGUUAAAUAGACGAUGCCCACAGGGCACUUGACAGAGGGCUUGGCACAGAAUGAGAAGUGAAUAAAUGUUAGUCGUUGUCAUUCUUAUUGUCAUUGUUGUUAGGACUUCUAAAGAAGCGUGGAGGCCCUUUGACUAGUGUGUCAGGAAGUAGCCCUGUUCCAAAAAGUCUUUCUGAGAGGAAGCCAGUAAAUCUUGCUCCGGCUAAAAAAAAAAAGAAACAUAAAUAAUAAUAAAAAAGAAAGAGUAUCUAGGUUUGGGGUGGGGCCUGGGGAUUCUGAAAAGGCGGAGGGAGGUGCAGGCAAAGAGCUGGAGAACUUGGGCGGCUGGUGGAGUGGAAGAGCCCUGAGCGGAAGCCCGGAGACCUGAGGCCGGGCUUGGCUCCGGGCGUGUGCCAGGCCUUCGGGGAUCUAGAACUCAGAUGGAGAAGAGAGGUGUUGUGUGUCCUUAUCACAUCUUCCCCCAGCAACUAUUGAGGAAAAUAAAUAAAGAAGUAUAGAUGAGUAAUAAGACAUCACAUCCACUAGAGACUCUUGAUCCGACAUCCGAUGAAUCCAUCCGCUUCCAAGGUGACUAGUUCAUCAGUUAAGGUCAAGAAGAGGAAUGCAGCAGCUCCUGGCAUCAAGGACAUCUCAGUCAAAACACUAGCUGAACAAAGCUAAAGGAACAGACUUCAGUGACCAUACACAACAAGGAAUACAGUCCCUACAAAAAAAGUUUAGAAGACUCACUAACAAAU
rnacentral:lncRNA from 1 species